GACGUAGGGGGCCAGCGUUGUUCGGAUUUACUGGGCGUAAAGGGCGCGUAGGCGGUCAGCACAAGUCAGUUGUGAAAUCUCCGGGCUUAACUCGGAAAGGUCAACUGAUACUGUGCGACUAGAGUGCAGAAGGGGCAACUGGAAUUCUCGGUGUAGCGGUGAAAUGCGUAGAUAUCGAGAGGAACACCUGCGGCGAAGGCGGGUUGCUGGGCUGACACUGACGCUGAUGCGCGAAAGCAUGGGGAGCGAACAGG
rnacentral:rRNA from 1 species